UACGGAGGUGGCAAGCGUUGCUCGGAAUCACUGGGCGUAGAGGGCGCGUAGGCGGGGAUGUAAGUCGGGUGUGAAAUCCCUCGGCCCAACCGAGGAACUGCGCCCGAGACUGCUUCUCUUGAGUCCCGGAGAGGAAGAUGGAAUUCCCGGUGUAGCGGUGAAAUGUGUAGAGAUCGGGAGGAACACCGGUGGCGAAGGCGGUCUUCUGGACGGUGACUGACGCUGAGGCGCGAAAGCGUGGGGAGCAAACGGG
rnacentral:rRNA from 1 species